GGAGUGCGGCCCGCCCGGUCCCGCCGCGGCCGCCGCCCGCCGCGCCCAGCCUGGCAUAAGACACCCCGGGCCGAGUUCCGGGUCGCCCCGAAGCCACACUGGUGCGUCCGAGCCCGCCAGGCCUGACCUUUCGCUCGGCCCCGCCUCCCCAGCGGCACCCAGGCCUCACCACUAGCGUAGCUGGCGCUAGCUUGUCCUGCUUUGACCACACCCUGAAGACUCGCGAAGUGUUGCUCCAUCCUAAGAGUUGUGCCUGCAAAAGUUAGUGUUCUUCCUGAUGCUGAAUCAAACUUCUGCUCAGAAUUUGUGUCGACUGCAAAGCACGGUAUCAGGAGCUCUGGCGGAGGAAAGACCGUGGGGCACACUGCUUAAGGAGAAGGCUUUCAGUUAAACCUGAAGUCUACCUCUGCUUUCCAUGUGGCCCUGGCUAACCUUCCUGAGCCUCAGUGUACUUCUCUAAAUGGGGGCGGUAAUGCCUAUCUAACUGCGGGCUGAUGAGUAAAUGAGCUCUGUAGGAAUGUGAUGCCAGAGAUGCAGCAACCACACCUCAGUCCUGAAGCAACAAACAGGAGAACAAAGGCCUGUGUUACAAGGAUGGCAGAGCAGAACAGUUGAAAGGGGCUGGAUCCUUUAUAGCAUAAUCAUGCCACCGUAUAAGACCUAAGCUGUCUGCUCUAAGAAUUCUUUAAUGUCCUCUUCCUGUUUAAGCCGGAAAGUCUCCCCAACCGCUGCAACCACCACCAGCCAACCCUGCAGCUUUUGUCACUUAUGCUUGUGACUCAGACUUCCAGGAAUCCUUUAGCGAAAUGUGGUCAUCUUACUUGGCACUCUGAAAUGUACAUUAUUAAUGAGGUAUACGUUAACAAUUAUUAAGACAAAAUAUGCAUUUCACUGUGAUAGGUACUAUUUAGAAUUCAUCAAAGGUUCACUAACAUGGCCAAAAACAUUUUAAAAUUUAACAAAUAUUCAAGAGAUUGAAAUGUAUCAGUAUAAAGAUGAUAUAGCAUCUGACAUGAUUUUUCUUUUCUUUUUUGUUUUUUUUUUUUUUUUUUUGCUUUAUAGCCACCUGAAUUAAGUACCUAGAAAUGAUUUUGAUGCUGUUGAACUUGGCCACAAUAGAAACAGUAUGUAAAUAUGAUCCUAUUUUUGUUAAAUUACGUGUAUGUGUGUAUAGAGCAAUGUGUGGCAGGGUGGUUCCCCAAAAUAUUGGUAGUGCUUAACUUGGAAUUGGGGGUAGGAAAAAUAGCAUGGAGGGAAUGCAAGAUAGCACUUACUUAGAAGCUGCUAUGAGCAUUGAGCUGCCUAUUUAAAUCCUUGUACAUGUUGCAGAUAAGAAAACUGAGAGAACAACUACACAUCUGUUACCAUUUGCUAGUUAAAGACAGCCUCUAAUGAGAAUGCUUAAGAGUAGGAUGCUAAUGGAUAAUGAAGGAUUUGUGAUUGUUAAGACCAAAUCUACUUUAACAGUAUUGACUAUUCAGUACACAUAAUCUUAGUAGCUAGUUCAGUAAUUCAGUGUGAUUUCUGCCCAUGGAGUAGCUUUCUUUGGUAACAAAGUAAAACAUUUAAAGGAAAUUAUUUGUAAAUAAUAAAAAUUGACUUCCAGUA